rnacentral:rRNA from 1 species
GUGGGGAAUCUUGCGCAAUGGGCGAAAGCCUGACGCAGCCAUGCCGCGUGAAUGAUGAAGGUCUUAGGAUUGUAAAAUUCUUUCACCGGGGACGAUAAUGACGGUACCCGGAGAAGAAGCUCCGGCUAACUUCGUGCCAGCAGCCGCGGUAAUACGAAGGGGGCUAGCGUUGCCCGGAAUUACUGGGCGUAAAGGGCGCGUAGGCGGACAGCUUAGUCAGAGGUUAAAGCCCAGGGCUCAACCUUGGAAUUGCCUUUGAUACUGGCUGUCUUGAGUUUGGGAGAGGUGAGUGGAACUCCGAGUGUAGAGGUGAAAUUCGUAGAUAUUCGGAAGAACACCAGUGGCGAAGGCGACUCACUGGCCCAAUACUGACGCUGAGGCGCGAAAGCGUGGGGAGCAAACAGGAUUAGAAACCCGGGUAGUCC